GUGUUCUGGUUUAACCCUUCACCCCUCAGGGUGUUCUGGUUUAACCCUUCACCCCUCAGGGUGUUCUGGUUUAACCCUUCACCCCUCAGGGUGUUCUGGUUUAACCCUUCACCCCUCAGGGUGUUCUGGUUUAACCCUUCACCCCUCAGGGUGUUCUGGUUUAACCCUUCACCCCUCAGGGUGUUCUGGUUUAACCCUUCACCCCUCAGGGUGUUCUGGUUUAACCCUUCAUCCCUCAGGGUGUUCCGUUCAGCCCUUCACCCCUCAGGGUAUUCUGGUUUAACCCUUCACCCCUCAGGGUGUUCCGUUCAGCCCUUCACCCCUCAGGGUAUUCUUGUUUAACCCUUCACCCCUCAAGGUAUUCUGGUUUAACCCUUCACCCCUCAGGGUGUUCUGUUCAGCCGUUCACCCCUCGGGGUGUUCUGUUCACCCCUCGGGGUGUUCUG
ensembl:lncRNA